GAUGAACGCUGGCGGCGUGCCUAAUACAUGCAAGUCGAGCGAACGGACGAGAAGCUUGCUUCUCUGAUGUUAGCGGCGGACGGGCGAGUAACACGUGGAUAACCUACCUAUAAGACUGGGAUAACUUCGGGAAACCGGAGCUAAUACCGGAUAAUAUUUUGAACCGCAUGGUUCAAAAGUGAAAGACGGUCUUGCUGUCACUUAUAGAUGGAUCCGCGCUGCAUUAGCUAGUUGGUAAGGUAACGGCUUACCAAGGCAACGAUGCAUAGCCGACCUGAGAGGGUGAUCGGCCACACUGGAACUGAGACACGGUCCAGACUCCUACGGGAGGCAGCAGUAGGGAAUCUUCCGCAAUGGGCGAAAGCCUGACGGAGCAACGCCGCGUGAGUGAUGAAGGUCUUCGGAUCGUAAAACUCUGUUAUUAGGGAAGAACAUAUGUGUAAGUAACUGUGCACAUCUUGACGGUACCUAAUCAGAAAGCCACGGCUAACUACGUGCCAGCAGCCGCGGUAAUACGUAGGUGGCAAGCGUUAUCCGGAAUUAUUGGGCGUAAAGCGCGCGUAGGCGGUUUUUUAAGUCUGAUGUGAAAGCCCACGGCUCAACCGUGGAGGGUCAUUGGAAACUGGAAAACUUGAGUGCAGAAGAGGAAAGUGGAAUUCCGUGUGUAGCGGUGAAAUGCGCAGAGAUAUGGAGGAACACCAGUGGCGAAGGCGACUUUCUGGUCUGUAACUGACGCUGAUGUGCGAAAGCGUGGGGAUCAAACAGGAUUAGAUACCCUGGUAGUCCACGCCGUAAACGAUGAGUGCUAAGUGUUAGGGGGUUUCCGCCCCUUAGUGCUGCAGCUAACGCAUUAAGCACUCCGCCUGGGGAGUACGACCGCAAGGUUGAAACUCAAAGGAAUUGACGGGGACCCGCACAAGCGGUGGAGCAUGUGGUUUAAUUCGAAGCAACGCGAAGAACCUUACCAAAUCUUGACAUCCUUUGACAACUCUAGAGAUAGAGCCUUCCCCUUCGGGGGACAAAGUGACAGGUGGUGCAUGGUUGCCGUCAGCUCGUGUCGUGAGAUGUUGGGUUAAGUCCCGCAACGAGCGCAACCCUUAAGCUUAGUUGCCAUCAUUAAGUUGGGCACUCUAAGUUGACUGCCGGUGACAAACCGGAGGAAGGUGGGGAUGACGUCAAAUCAUCAUGCCCCUUAUGAUUUGGGCUACACACGUGCUACAAUGGACAAUACAAAGGGCAGCGAAACCGCGAGGUCAAGCAAAUCCCAUAAAGUUGUUCUCAGUUCGGAUUGUAGUCUGCAACUCGACUACAUGAAGCUGGAAUCGCUAGUAAUCGUAGAUCAGCAUGCUACGGUGAAUACGUUCCCGGGUCU
rnacentral:rRNA from 1 species